rnacentral:lncRNA from 9 species
CAUAAUGAAACGGGCAAAUGAGAUAUAGCAGAAGGAAGGAGGAGAAUAGAAGGAAGGAAGGACCCCCCCUAGGAUUCCUUUGUGGAUCAAAGGCAAAGAAAGAAGGGCUUCUGAAGGCCUGGCACAGCUACAAGGAUUCUCCUGACAGUAUGGCACAUCUGUCUAGCACGUCAUGUUUCGGGGAAGCCUUUCCCAACGGUGUCAUGAGGCUGGCAGGGUGGGCAUUCUGUCCAUCAGCGAGGAGCAGAUGGAGAGCCAAAGAGGAUGAGUGAAUUGCCGACGCGCACGCCUGGUUCAGGAUCAGCAUCCAGGUCUCCUCAUUAAGUCCAGUGAGCUUUCAGCUCUGUCAUGCUGCCUCUUCUUCCCCAGAGGGCUUGGGAAACAUAAGCAACUGCCUACAGGAAAUAUGCUUCACCUUCCUCACAGACACGGCGUUCCAGAACCAGACUCCAUGGAAACAGAACACAGAGGGUGUGUACAUUCAUGUCUUCUAGACCCACUCCAGUUCUCAUCAGAAGCUGAUGAGCCACCCCACAGUUCACGGCGGGUCAGACCUAAUCCGUAUCCUCUUCAAAAUAGGCCAGAAAAAUGGAAUCACUGGAUAUCAGAAGAGAAAGGGAACCACAGAGUCUUGCUAGUCUAAUGCCUUUAUUUUAAGGAUGAAGAAAUAGCCUUUUGUUUUGUUUUUCAGAUUUAUUGAGAUAUAAUGUACAAAGUGGUAAGAUACUUAAAGUUACAACAUGAUUUUGAAACAACCUUGCCUUGUGAAAGGACUCCCCCAUCAUGUUAAUUACCCUGAUAAUCACUUCACAUAUUUACCUUUGUGUGUGUAUGUUUGAGAAUAUUUAAGUUCUACUCUCUCAGCAAAUUUCAAUUAUACAAAUACAGUGUUAUCAACUA